rnacentral:rRNA from 1 species
GAGGAAAGAACCCAACAGGGAUUGCCCCAGUAACGGCGAGUGAAGCGGCAACAGCUCAAAUUUGAAAUCUGGCCCCCUCGGGGCCCGAGUUGUAAUUUGCAGAGGGAGCUUUUGGCGUCGGUCGUGGUCUAAGUUCCUUGGAACAGGACGUCACAGAGGGUGAGAAUCCCGUACGUGGCCGCCGGCCUUCGCCUUGUAAAGCCCCUUCGACGAGUCGAGUUGUUUGGGAAUGCAGCUCUAAAUGGGAGGUAAAUUCCUUCUAAAGCUAAAUACCCGCCAGAGACCGAUAGCGCACAAGUAGAGUGAUCGAAAGAUGAAAAGCACUUUGGAAAGAGAGUGAAAAAGCACGUGAAAUUGUUGAAAGGGAAGCGCUUGCGGCUAGACGUGCCCGCGGUUGAUCAUCCAGGCUCCGGCCUGGUGCACUCCUCCGCGGGCAGGCCAGCAUCAGUUCGGGCGGUCGGAUAAAGGCCUCUGUCACGUACCACCCCUCGGGGUGGCCUUAUAGGGGAGGCGCAACACGGCCAGCCCGGACUGAGGUUCCGCGCAUCUGCUAGGAUGCUGGCGUAAUAGCAGCAAGCGGCCCGUCUUGAAACACGGACCAAGGAGUCUAACAUCUAUGCGAGUGUUUGGGUGUCAAGCCCGAGCGCGCAAUGAAAGUGAACGGAGGUGGGAACCCUCACGGGUGCACCAUCGACCGAUCCUGAUGUCUUCGGAUGGAUUUGAGUAAGAGCAUAGCUGUUGGGACCCGAAAGAUGGUGAACUAUGCCUGAAUAGGGUGAAGCCAGAGGAAACUCUGGUGGAGGCUCGCAGCGGUUCUGACGUGCAAAUCGAUCGUCAAAUUUGGGCAUAGGGGC